UACGUAGGGGGCAAGCGUUGUCCGGAAUCAUUGGGCGUAAAGAGCGUGUAGGCGGCCACACAGGUCUGCUGUGAAAACUCGAGGCUCAACCUCGAGCUGUCGGUGGAAACCGUGUGGCUAGAGUCCGGAAGAGGCGAGUGGAAUUCCUGGUGUAGCGGUGAAAUGCGCAGAUAUCAGGAGGAACACCAAUUGCGAAGGCAGCUCGCUGGGACGUUACUGACGCUGAGACGCGAAAGCGUGGGGAGCAAACAGG
rnacentral:rRNA from 1 species